rnacentral:tRNA from 1 species
GCGGAUGUAGCCAAGUGGAUUAAGGCAGUGGAUUGUGAAUUGAGCAUGCGCGAUGCGCGA